rnacentral:rRNA from 1 species
CACUUUAUUUGAUUUCCUUCGGGACUGAUUAUUUUGUGACUGAGUGGCGGACGGGUGAGUAACGCGUGGGUAACCUGCCUUGUACAGGGGGAUAACAGUUGGAAACGGCUGCUAAUACCGCAUAAGCGCACGGCAUCGCAUGAUGCAGUGUGAAAAACUCCGGUGGUAUAAGAUGGACCCGCGUUGGAUUAGCUAGUUGGUGAGGUAACGGCCCACCAAGGCGACGAUCCAUAGCCGACCUGAGAGGGUGACCGGCCACAUUGGGACUGAGACACGGCCCAAACUCCUACGGGAGGCAGCAGUGGGGAAUAUUGCACAAUGGGCGAAAGCCUGAUGCAGCGACGCCGCGUGAGCGAAGAAGUAUUUCGGUAUGUAAAGCUCUAUCAGCAGGGAAGAUAAUGACGGUACCUGACUAAGAAGCACCGGCUAAAUACGUGCCAGCAGCCGCGGUAAUACGUAUGGUGCAAGCGUUAUCCGGAUUUACUGGGUGUAAAGGGAGCGCAGGCGGUGCGGCAAGUCUGAUGUGAAAGCCCGGGGCUCAACCCCGGUACUGCAUUGGAAACUGUCGUACUAGAGUGUCGGAGGGGUAAGCGGAAUUCCUAGUGUAGCGGUGAAAUGCGUAGAUAUUAGGAGGAACACCAGUGGCGAAGGCGGCUUACUGGACGAUAACUGACGCUGAGGCUCGAA